AGACUCGGAAGGAUGAAAGUCGAAGUCAAAUCGAGUGUGAUUUAAAAGGAAAACGGUGGCACCAAACUAGAUAGUGAAGGUGGACGUACUACUGUUUCUGCUAUUAACACUACCCUCUCGCUGACUACUACAGGAAAAAAGAUUAAUCGAAAUAUUUAAAAGGUGCCGAUAUUGAUUUCGAAAUACUGAAAUUAUACAUUUGAAAACAAAAACAAAUCUAAGGUAAG